rnacentral:misc_RNA from 1 species
CAAGCCGCGGUAAUUCCAGCUCCAAUAGCGUAUAUUAAAGUUGUUGCAGUUAAAAAGCUCGUAGUUGAAUUUCGGGAUCAAUUUAUUGGUCGUGCUAUUGUACGUACUGGUAUUAUUGAUUCCUACCUUCUGACGAACCAUGAUGUCAUUAAUUUGGUGUCAUGGGGAAUCAGGACUGUUACUUUGAAAAAAUUAGAGUGUUUAAAGCAGGCUCACGCUUGAAUACAUUAGCAUGGAAUAACGAAAUAGGACGUUUGAUUCUAUUUUGUUGGUUUCUAGGAUCGACGUAAUGAUUAAUAGGGAUAGUUGGGGGCAUUAGUAUUCAAUUGUCAGAGGUGAAAUUCUUGGAUUUAUUGAAGACUAACUACUGCGAAAGCAUUUGCCAAGGAUGUUUUCAUUAAUCAAGAACGAAAGUUAGGGGAUCGAAGACGAUCAGAUACCGUCGUAGUCUUAACCAUAAACUAUGCCGACUAGGGAUCGGAUGAUGUUAAUUUUUUAAUGACUCAUUCGGCGCCUUACG